rnacentral:rRNA from 1 species
UAACAUGUCUGUGUCUAAUUGUUAUAAAGUCUAGCCUGCGCACUGAUUAACUUAAAGGGCCGCGGUAAUUUGACCGUGCGUACGUAGCAUAGUCUCUAGUCUUAUAAUUGAAGGCUUGAAUGAAAGGUUGGACGAGGGAUAAGCUGUCUCGUUUACAUAAUGUUGAAUAUAACUAAUGAGUGAAAAGGCUCAAAUAUCUUAAUGGGACGAUAAGACCCUAUAAAACUUAAUAUAAUAUUGGCUUAAUAUGUGAUAUUUAGUGAAAAGUAGUAUUGCCGGGUUUAUAUAUCGUUGCGGAGAUGUAGAUAUAAUAUGUAACUGUCGUAUAUAAAUUUUUAAUUAUAAUUAGUAUUUGAUCCUUCAUUGUGGAUUAGAUGAAUAAGUUACUUUAGGGAUAUCAGCGUGAUUUUCAUUCUGAGUUCUUAUCGACAAGAGUAGUUGCGAGCUCGAUGUUGAAUUAAAAUUUGAGCUAGGUGUAGGCGUUUAGCUGGUCGC